rnacentral:rRNA from 1 species
AUACGUAGGGGGCAAGCGUUAUCCGGAUUUACUGGGUGUAAAGGGAGCGUAGGUGGUUCGGCAAGUCAGAUGUGAAAGCCCGGGGCUCAACCCCGGGACUGCAUUUGAAACUGCCGUACUAGAGUGCAGGAGAGGUAAGUGGAAUUCCUAGUGUAGCGGUGAAAUGCGUAGAUAUUAGGAGGAACACCAGUGGCGAAGGCGGCUUACUGGACUGUAACUGACACUGAGGCUCGAAAGCGUGGGGAGCAAACAGGAUUAGAUACCCUGGUAGUCCACGCGGUAAACGAUGAAUACUAGGUGUCGGGGGUCAAAAGACCUCCGGUGCCGGCGCAAACGCAUUAAGUAUUCCACCUGGGGAGUACGUUCGCAAGAAUGAA